GACAUGAGCAAGUGCUUUAACAUCGCUGAGCCUCAGAUUUCUUAUCCAUAAAAUGAUGUGAUAGUAGUACCUAAUUUAUAAAGUUAUGUACCAGUCCGGGAAAGAUUGGAAUUUUAAAGCCAGCUCUUCAGCAUGCAUCAUUUGAGAGGCACUGAUCUAGACCAGCCCAGGAGACCUGCCUUGUGGAAGCCAAAUAUCCCUUUACUGAGAGAAGUCCGUCUGGAUCCUCCCUAGUCUCAGCUGCAUAUUGCCUGGAACAGAUCUGCUCCCUACAAUAGUGAUAGUGAAAGUGAUACUGACUCCUACUGUGUGAACAAGAGGCCCCAAAGGCCUCUGAUUUAAAGGCUGAAGAAAGAGUUUAGAGCACAGAACUGAAGGGAUCUACAAGAUGUGGUUUAAAGUUGCCACCGGCAUCUCCAUGACCUCUGGCUGCCCUCUGAGGCCCCACCAAGCUGGCUUUCUCAUCAGGGCCUGGGAGGAGCUGAACAAGGUUUCACUGGCAGCAGCUCCUAUUACAGGGCCAAAGAAGGCCUCCCUUAAUGGCCCCUCGGGGCCUCUGACACUUGAUCCUUAGUCACUGUCUUCCACUGACCUAAUGGGCCAGAAUAUGUCUUUCAGACUGGAAAAAUAUUUUUGAACUUGAAAGCGUGUAUGUUUUCUUCUAGAGAAAGCCCAUUCUAAUCAACCAAACUGGCCCUUGGUUUGUUCCUUCGCUUAUUCUUUCACCCCUUUUUAAGAGCCUAGUCCACUAGGCAGGAUGUAUGAAACUAAUUAAAGA